rnacentral:rRNA from 1 species
CCCUUAGAUGUUCUGGGCCGCACGCGCGCUACACUGAUUCAUGCAACAAGUUCUGUCCUUGGCUGAUAGGCCUGGGUAAUCUUUGAACGUGAAUCGUGAUGGGGAUAGAUGAUUGCAAUUAUUCAUCUUCAACGAGGAAUUCCUAGUAAACGCAAGUCAUCAGCUUGCAUUGAUUACGUCCCUGCCCUUUGUACACACCGCCCGUCGCACCUACCGAUUGAAUGGUCCGGUGAAAUCUCGGGACGGCGGCUUGGUCGCUUGCGUCCGACUGCUGAAACUUGAUUAAACCAUAUCAUUUAGAGGAAGGUGAAGUCGUAACA